rnacentral:rRNA from 1 species
GCCGAAGCACGUAAGGGCGUACGGUGGAUGGCUAGGCAGCGAGGAGCCGACGAAGGACGUGGCAGCCUGCGAUAAGCCUCGGGGAGGUGGCAAGCAACCUUUGAUCCGAGGAUUUCCGAAUGGGGAAACCCCUUUGCACGAACUGCAAAGACCCACAUCUGAAUACAUAGGGUGUGUGGAGGGCACCUGGGGAAGUGAAACAUCUCAGUACCCAGAGGAAAAGAAAAAAAGUAUACGCAGACUUCUUGUCUCACCAGAUCAAUCAUGGUCUGGACAGAGACAAGAUGUCUGCAUCAUUCCCUGAGUAGCGGCGAUCGAAACGGGAACAGCCGAAACUUUCAUGAUUAAUCUUCUGCACCGAGUUGGACGCAAGUUUAACCGCGGGCAGGAGAGGCGAGCUUGGGCUAUCGUCAUGAAGGGGUUGCGGGACAGAAGCAUGUAUCACCCAAGAGAUGCGUGGAGAGCAGAUGAUAUUAGUUGAAUCCGCUGGAAAGCGGAACCAAAGACGGUGAUAGUCCGGUAAACGAAAAUAUCCAUCUCCUCCAGUUUUUGAUCCAUAGUACGACGAGGCACGAGAAACCUCGUCGGAAGCAGCCACGACGAUGUGGCAAGGCUAAAUACUCCUCCUGACCGAUAGUGAACAAGUACCGUGAGGGAAAGCUGAAAAGUAGCCCGGGAGGGCGAUGAAAUAGUAUCUGAAACCAUGUGCUUACAAGGAGUCGGAGCUGGGUAGUAAUACCUGGUGACGGCGUUCCUAUUGAAGAAUGAGCCAACGAGUUUGUUCUAUGUCGCAAGUUUAAUCCGGCUACGCCGGAGAAAGCGAAGGGAAACCAAGUCUGAAUAGGGCGACUUCCAUGGGUUAUAAGGCUGGCAGGUUACCAGGUCAGUGGAGAGCAAUUUCCAUGAUCUGAGAACCUCUUACCUUAUAACCUCGUGGAGCAGCGGCAUGGACAAAACACGAAACCGAGUGAGCUAACCAUGGCCAGGGUGAACUCCGCCAACAAACGGAGGGAGGCCCGCACCCACGUGCUGUGCAAAACACGGGGAUGAGUUGUGGUUAGUGGUGAAAUUCCUAUCGAACUCGGUAAUAGCUUGUUUUCCUCGAAAUAGUUAUUGGACUAGCCUCGUCGUGGCGACCAGUGGUAGAGCACUGAAUGGGGGUGGGUGGAGCAAUCCUACCACUUCCAACCAAACUCCGAAUGCUGGAACCGUUAUAUGGCGGGAGUUAGACUAUGGGCGCUAAGGUCCAUCAGUCAAAAGGGGAACAGCCCAGAUCAUCAUCUAAGGUCCCCAAAUCUUCGUUAAGUGUCAAAGGUGGUGUCGCGACCGUGACAACCAGGAUGUUGGCUUAGAGGCAGCCAUCAUUUAAAGAAAGCGUAAUAGCUCACUGGUCCAGUUGCCGCGCGCCGAAAAUAUAUCGGGGCUCAAACGUGGUACCGAAGAUAUGGGUCUUGCAUCUUUGAUGUGAGGCGGUAGAGGAACGUUCUGUAUGCAA